UACAGAGGUCCCGAGCGUUGUUCGGAUUCACUGGGCGUAAAGGGUGCGCAGGUGGGUUGGCAAGUUUGAUGUGAAAGCCCCGGGCUUAACCCGGGAAUGGCAUUGAAUACUGCUGAUCUGGAGGAUCGGAGGGGGGACUGGAAUUCUUGGUGUAGCAGUGAAAUGCGUAGAUAUCAAGAGGAACACCAGUGGCGAAGGCGAGUCCCUGGACGAUACCUGACACUGAGGCACGAAAGCUAGGGGAGCAAACAGG
rnacentral:rRNA from 1 species